AGGUAAGCUACUAAGAGCGAAUGGUGGAUGCCUUGACUGGUAAAGGCGAUGAAGGACGUACUAGACUGCGAUAAGCUACGGGGAGCUGUCAAGAAGCUUUGAUCCGUAGAUUUCCGAAUGGGGCAACCCAAUGUAUAGAGAUAUACAUUACCUAUAUAGGAGCGAACGAGGGGAAUUGAAACAUCUUAGUACCCUCAGGAAAAGAAAUCAAUAGAGAUUGCGUCAGUAGCGGCGAGCGAAAGCGCAAGAGGGCAAACCCAGUGCUUGCACUGGGGGUUGUAGGACUGCAAUGUGCAAGAGGUAAGUUUAGCAGAACAUUCUGGAAAGUAUAACCAUAGAGGGUGAUAGUCCCGUAUGCGAAAAACAAACCUUAGCUAGCAGUAUCCUGAGUAGGGCGGGACACGAGGAAUCCUGUCUGAAUCUGGGUCGACCACGAUCCAACCCUAAAUACUAAUACCAGAUCGAUAGUGCACAAGUACCGUGAGGGAAAGGUGAAAAGAACUGAGGUGAUCAGAGUGAAAUAGAACCUGAAACCAUUUGCUUACAAUCAUUCAGAGCCCUAUGUAGCAAUACAGGGUGAUGGACUGCCUUUUGCAUAAUGAGCCUGCGAGUUGUGGUGUCUGGCAAGGUUAAGCAAACGCGAAGCCGUAGCGAAAGCGAGUCUGAAUAGGGCGCUUAGUCAGAUGCUGCAGACCCGAAACGAAGUGAUCUAUCCAUGAGCAAGUUGAAGCUAGUGUAAGAACUAGUGGAGGACUGAACCCAUAGGCGUUGAAAAGCCCCGGGAUGACUUGUGGAUAGGGGUGAAAGGCCAAUCAAACUUCGUGAUAGCUGGUUCUCUCCGAAAUAUAUUUAGGUAUAGCGUUGUGUCGUAAUAUAAGGGGGUAGAGCACUGAAUGGGCUAGGGCAUACACCAAUGUACCAAACCCUAUCAAACUCCGAAUACCUUAUAUGUAAUCACAGCAGUCAGGCGGCGAGUGAUAAAAUCCGUCGUCAAGAGGGAAACAACCCAGACUACCAGCUAAGGUCCCUAAAUCUUACUUAAGUGGAAAACGAUGUGAAGUUACUUAAACAACCAGGAGGUUGGCUUAGAAGCAGCCAUCCUUUAAAGAAAGCGUAAUAGCUCACUGGUCUAGUGAUUUUGCGCGGAAAAUAUAACGGGGCUAAAGUAAGUACCGAAGCUGUAGACUUAGUUUACUAAGUGGUAGGAGAGCGUUCUAUUUGCGUCGAAGGUAUACCGGUAAGGAGUGCUGGAGCGAAUAGAAGUGAGCAUGCAGGCAUGAGUAGCGAUAAUUAAUGUGAGAAUCAUUAACGCCGUAAACCCAAGGUUUCCUACGCGAUGCUCGUCAUCGUAGGGUUAGUCGGGUCCUAAGUCGAGUCCGAAAGGGGUAGACGAUGGCAAAUUGGUUAAUAUUCCAAUACCAACAUUAGUGUGCGAUGGAAGGACGCUUAGGGCUAAGGGGGCUAGCGGAUGGAAGUGCUAGUCUAAGGUCGUAGGAGGUUAUACAGGCAAAUCCGUAUAACAAUACUCCGAGAACUGAAAGGCUUUUUGAAGUCUUCGGAUGGAUAGAAGAACCCCUGAUGCCGUCGAGCCAAGAAAAGUUUCUAAGUUUAGCUAAUGUUGCCCGUACCGUAAACCGACACAGGUGGGUGGGAUGAGUAUUCUAAGGCGCGUGGAAGAACUCUCUUUAAGGAACUCUGCAAAAUAGCACCGUAUCUUCGGUAUAAGGUGUGGUUCGCUUCGUAUUAGGAUUUACUCCGAAAGCGAAGAAACUUACAACAAAGAGUCCCUCCCGACUGUUUACCAAAAACACAGCACUCUGCUAACUCGUAAGAGGAUGUAUAGGGUGUGACGCCUGCCCGGUGCUCGAAGGUUAAUUGAUGGGGUUAGCAUUAGCGAAGCUCUUGAUCGAAGCCCGAGUAAACGGCGGCCGUAACUAUAACGGUCCUAAGGUAGCGAAAUUCCUUGUCGGUUAAAUACCGACCUGCAUGAAUGGCGUAACGAGAUGGGAGCUGUCUCAAAGAGGGAUCCAGUGAAAUUGUAGUGGAGGUGAAAAUUCCUCCUACCCGCGGCAAGACGGAAAGACCCCGUGGACCUUUACUACAGCUUGACACUGCUACUUGGAUAAGAAUGUGCAGGAUAGGUGGGAGGCUUUGAGUAUAUGACGCCAGUUGUAUAUGAGCCAUUGUUGAGAUACCACUCUUUCUUAUUUGGGUAG
rnacentral:rRNA from 1 species